rnacentral:rRNA from 1 species
CCCUCCCUCUGGCGGCGUGCUUAACACAUGCAAGUCGAACGAAGAGCGACGGAAGUUUGCUUCUAUCAAUCUUAGUGGCGCACGGGUGAGGAACGCGUAAUCAACCUGCCUUUCAGAGGGGGACACCAGUUGGAUACGACUGCUAAUACCGCAUACGUUCUAACCUCGGCAUCGAGGAUAGUUGCAAGGUGGCCUCUACAUGUAUGACAACACUGUAGGAGGGGAUUGCGUCUGAUUAGCUAGUUGGAGGGGUAGCGGCCCACCAAGGCGAUGAUCAGUAGCCGGUCUGCGAGGAUGAACUGCCACAUUGGGACUGAGACACGGCCCAGACUCCUACGGGAGGCAGCAGUGGGGAAUCUUCCGCAAUGGACGAAAGUCUGACGGAGCAACGCCGCGUGAGUGAUGACGGCCUUCGGGUUGUAAAGCUCGGUUAAUCGGGACGAAAGGCCUUCUUGCGAAUAGGGAGAAGGAUUGACGGUACCGGAAUAGAAAGCCACGGCUAACUACGUG